rnacentral:tRNA from 1 species
GGGGGUAUAGCUCAGUGGUAGAGCAUUUGACUGCAAAACAUAAAGUUGUCUCCA